AAGGAAUAUUGACCCCUUAAGGACACGUGACAUGUCAUGAUUCCCUUUUAUUCCAGAAAUCUGGUCCUUGGGGGGUUAAACAAUUAAUCUGUCAGUAUUUCAGAACUGCUUGCAAAACAUAAUUGAAAGGAAGUCACAAGCUAUGACAGUUUCUAUGUAUCAGGAAAUGCCUAACCACAAUGUAUAUGUGAUAUUUUGUAAGAUUAGAUUAUUGAAUGUAACAGCAGAAACUGCUUCCUCUUUUAUGUAUCUUGUGUAACCUUUUUGUAACCUUUUUGUAACCUUUUGUAACCAAUAUUCGUGACAAGUAUAGUAUAAAUAUAGUGAAUCUUGAAUAAACGAUCAGAAGAUUAUGGAAAGCAAAGAGUGUGCGUCUGGUUAAUACGCUUCCAUGAAAAUCUUCCCUGAAUAUUCAGCUGACAAUCGAGGGUUGGAGAAUAGUGACCAGAGGGACCGAGUCACCAGAUUAGCAGAUUUACCUUUCAGCUUGGUGUCAGAAAGUGGGAUUGUAGCCAAAACCAUUUUGGGUGAGUAGUAAUUCCUUGUGUCUAUCUUGACGCCCUGAAUCUAUGAUCCCCAUGGUUUUGUAAGUCUACAUCAUUUUAGGAAAGGUUAUUUAGUAUAUGUGUUUUCUGUGACUCAGUUUUACAUAAGGUCCCGUUAAAUUAGUCUAGUAAGGGAACGAGACAGAGAGAUAUAUGUAUUUCUAGUAAGUGAACUAGAGAAGGUCUAAUAAGAGAAUUAGACAGAUAAAAGGAAGUCUAUAAAGUGAUAUAGACAGAGAAUUUAGUAUAUAAGUGAAUAUACUACGAUAGUGUGCACAGAGUUUCAGGUUCACCUUGUCCACCCUCUAAUUGUCAUUAGUUAAGUCUGGUUGUGAGUGUGAAUAAGUGUUUGAAAGAUUUGUCCUAGGAAUGGGAAAUUACCAUGUAAGAAUAUGAAGUAGUUAACUUUUCUUGUUCAUAUGUAUUUUAUGCUUAAAUAAGGUUUAUAAUCAUUAAGUACUGACUGUAAGGAUAUGAAAUAGUUAAACUCUUUUUGCUUUAUAUGCUAGCCCUGAAAAUAUACUCACUGAGAAUCUUGUUAAAGCACAUUUGUAGUGUCCAUGUCUUUAUUGCAAACAAUGAUUCUCCAUUAACUGGGUGAUUGUCUAUAUUGGGGACACACUUUGGUAAAUUAGUAGUGUGUCCACCCUGAGUCAGCAGUAUGGGAAAUGUAAGUUCAGGUCCUGAGUGACCAAUAUAUAUACAUAUAUAUAUGAUGGCAGUACUGUAUAUUAGACAAGAACUGACUCGCAGGUUGUACCUGAUAGACCUACUUAAAUCUUUUUGCUUUAUUCUUUCUGUUGCAUAGAAGUAUAAGUUUAUUACUCUGUUUUAUUGCAAGUUAUUUCACAUGGGAUCUGUGUGCCUGGAAUGAUUGUUACUUUAAUACCAUAAGCCCACUACACUUAUUAUGAGAGUGGGAUAGUGUAAAUGUGUUACAUUGUUUGCAUGAUGAGCUCAGUAUUUUUAUAACUGAGACAAAAAGUCAUUUCAUUAGUAUUUGAAAGUUAAUUCCCCAUAUGGGAUUGAUUGUAUAGAAACACCAAUCAGCACAUCUUCCCUGCCCUGUGUGUUUGUUGCAAAGGAUCCAUACCGUUAAUAUGAUUUUUGUUUGUAAAUAAGAGCAACAUUUACAUUUUCAGCGGUCCAACACAUGCUUCAUUUUGCGCUGUAAACUAACCUUUUUAUUGCAACAGAUUCCUUUUAAAUGAUCCAGUGUAAUAACUACUGCAUAUGUUUUGUGUCUUCUAUGUCUCACAUUAUAUGUGUUCUGUUCUUUUAAAUUGUGGUAUAUAGCCUGGAUCAGAGAUUAUGGACAAAGGUUUCUACCUGUUUUACUAAGGCUCUUGGAGACUGACCGGUCUAAGGUUUGCCAUGCCUUUUAAACAUGGUAUAGAAUAAUUUUUUUUUUAAGUCUCUGAGAGUUCUGUAAGAUUCUGGUGAAACCAUGUCUGUGUAAUCUGGUCCAAAUGUUUGCUCAAUUUCUAUAAGAUUUAAGUUGAUGCAGUAUCAUCUCAGAUUAGUUAAUGGAAGUUUCAUACAAAUAUUUGAGUUAUGAGCGCGCUAUAUAAAUGCAUCCUUUCUCUAUAUACAAUACUAUAGUAGAUUAAAGUAAUGAAGUUAAUAAGAAUUAAAAAAAAAAAAAAGUAUACAUAAGAAUCCCUAAAAUAAAUCUAAUAUAAACUAAAAUUGGUAUACCUUACAAUAAUAUGUUCUGAGUACAGCUGUUAACUUAUUAUUCUGUGUAAAUGGUGAUUGUGAUAAUGUGUGAAGUGUGCAGCUUAACUGGAAAGUGGUUUAAUUUAUAUGUUGCUGUGUUGUUUUAAAUUAUAUUUGAAUCCGUUUGUCUCAGUUUAAUGAUACUGAUAAAAAUGCCAGUCAAAUAACCUAGCAAAUAACGGUUUUAUUAGCUGUUGAAUACUAGCAUUCUGGCCAAGAGUAGUUGGAGUUGGAGUAGUUCUAUGAGCUCAGAGAGGCUCUAUGUUGUGGUCUGAUAUAGUUAUAUGGGAAUGGAGAUUUGGAGGUAUCAGUUUAAGACUGCUUUCAUAUUGUGUCUACCUGUGUUUCCUAGGAGGGACACAGAGUGUGUAGUUGUGUGCUCAUGAAUGUGUUUUCUGUAUUGGCAUAUCUGCUGGGUACCCGAUACGUGUAUCUACUACGUCUGUUUUGUGAGAUGUCUGUUUUGUGAGAUGACAUGUAAUAUUACAUUGAAUGCUGAGUAUGAGUUAUAUGGUUUGAAAUGAAUUGGUGUGUUAUGUGUUUUAUGUAUUUUAUUGUCCAUUGUGUAGGAAUUUAACUAGCAGAGUGAUUUGCAUAUCAUUAACGCAAGCAUUUAGUGUUUUUACAAAAGGUGAAAUGCUGUCCAGCCGGCUAGAAUGAAACAAUUGUAUGCUAUCGCUCAUGGAGCACGAAAAGCGCUUGUUACAUCCCACGUGAAAGGGGCCCUGCAAACUUCUGCUGUUCAAAUCGUGGGUCCACGUUUCCAUUUGCAAACUGAUUAAUCCUGAAAGUCAUUCUUUUACUGAUAAAAAGGAUUGAAUGGACAAGAUGUCUCUCCCUCAUAAAGGAGUUCUAAUAGGGGAGUAUUGUCCAGCUCAGAGUUAACUCUACUUUUAAAGUAUAUUGCAUUGUUUGUGUCAAAGUAAGAUUCAUCUAGUAUGCCUCAUUGAUUAUGGGGUAAUAAUAACAUGGUAUUUUUAUUGGAGAUUAGACAAUUUCUGAAAUUUAUAAGUGAGGUAAUUUUAAUCUCCUAAACUACUGUAUUAUAUUUGUAUGGGUAAAUUGAAAGCAUUUUGCAGAUCCAGAAGAGCAUUAAUAAAUAAUAUAAUAAUCUCACUACGUGCCAAUUUAUGCAAAGAGGCUAUCCAAAGUACGCACUAACGGGUUAAACUUGUUUUCUUGAUAAGCGUAUAACAUUUAGUUUUGUGGUUAGACUUUUGAUACUCAAUUUGAAAUAUGUCCCAAUUACAUCCUUGCAUGGCACCAGGUACAGGUAGCAAUAUGUGUUUUAAAAAUUUGCAAGGUCUUAGUGUUUUCAAUAUAUUAUAAUAAUGGAAAAGUACCUAACCGCAUGUCUGCAUUACGCUCAUGACACAGACUAUCAGUAUUGCAAGCCCUAUAUGAAGGCUAUGCUUUCAUUGUUGAUGUAUAUACCCCUAGACAACCUUGCUUUAUAUACAAAAUGUAACUAUCCAUUCAACCUUUAAAAGCUUAUUAAUAUUAUAUCUGUGUGGUACACAAAGAGGGGGUGUGAGUUAGGUAAUCCUAUCCUGCAUAUGGAAUAAAGGCAGAGGUAGAGGAUUUGGUCAAAGGGUCUAACUUUUGUAGAGGUAACAACUUCAGCAUUGGUGGAACACACUGUUCUAAUUGUGGAUAGCAGGGUCACUGGAAAAAUGAGUGCCCAAACCCACCCCCACAGAUUCCUAAAUACCAACCAUAGCUUCCAACCUAUACCCACACCCAACAACCCCAGCCUAAUACACAGAGGGUUCAUGUUUGUAAUAUUUUAUAUAGGUUUAGGUGUUAAUCCAAGAGUAUUGAAUUAUUCGGGAUUAUUAAAGUAAUUAAUUUUGAAUAUCAAAUCAAGGUUCCGGUUUAGGAACAGAGUUUUAUUGGGAAUUAUCCCCAUAUGUAUAUGUUAGUGUUUUAACAUUCAUCCUAACAAGGAUUUAUAGAGUGAGUACUACUCUCAUCCGUACAAAGGCAUUCCAAAGGGGUAUUAUGUAAAACUUUAUAGAAAACAGAUUGCAAAUAUAAGAGAAGUACAUGUUACACAAAUUAAGGGUUUAACCUUAAUCUCUAAUUUAAGUUUUAGCCUAGGUAAUUAAUUAAUGUUGUAUUGAUCCUUGUGUUUGUAUGAUUGUAGAGACCGUCCUGGAGUGUUUGUGCCGCCUGAUUUCUGGGACUACACACCAAUCUCUCUGGCUGACCAUGCAAUAAGUAUUUUGCAACUACAUAUGUUUGGUCAUUAUCCAUGCAGGCCAAUGAAACUGAGAGGACAUAAACUUUGCACGCAAGAACCUGGAAAGUCCUGAAGGUGCAGUGCUGUCUAAUACCGCUGGUUCUGUAAUAACCCUUUCAACCAUUGGGGUGUUGCACAGAGCUUUGUGGUGAAAAUCCAGCAAACAAAAGAAGAACUAAGAACUAUAUGGAAGCUGACAUUGUCUUGUUGUCAGCCAUAUUGCUACCCUUAGCCAUUUUUAUGGAACAAAAUGUCUGGUGUCUAAACUGAUUUCUUUAUACUCUGUGAAAGACUUAUUCUAUUUUUCUGAACUAUGCUGAACUAUUGAACUAUUUUUAUUUUUAUUUUUGUAGAGUUAGCCAGAGAGAGAGGAAGUGUUAGCUGACCCAGGGAUGGAUGUACUAUGUGUGUUUUUUAUAUAUGUUGAGUGUGCCAGGGAUGGAUUCCCAUGUUUUGAGGAACUGCGUGAGGAUAUGACUGGUUUUGACUGGACUUUUGGAAUAGGGAAAUGGUUAAAAGAUAUAGGACGCAAGGUCCUGGUUGUGCAAUAAUAUAGUUGCUCUAAGCCCAAGUUCCAUUCGGUCUUAAACAUCCAUUUUCUAUAUAUCUGUCUGCAAAAGUAUUAAGUGUUUUUGUUUUGUUUUUUUUCUGCUGAGUUUCUGUUUCUUGUAGACCACAUGAUUGCUUGGGAAUGCCAUAAUGUGGAAAUUUCUCUGUCUUGGGAGAAUGUUAACCGAUGAUAUGAGCAAUACAUAUUGCUCAAAGAGGGGUAACAAUUGUGAUUAUUGGGGCUCAGUUGGAUGGAACACCAGGACAGAUUGGGGUUAUACCUUAAAUAUUGAAAACCCCAGUCCUGGAGAUCAAGGUAUUUAUAUUCUUGUUAAUCCUCUAAAGCCCCACAUUCAAACCCUUGGUGAUAUGAUGGCCAUAGCAGAUCCCACGUUUGGAGAUACCACAGCGUUAGAAACAGGGUAUGCAGAUACAAACCUAUGGCUGGAAUGGUUGAGAUAUAAUGCCCAUUCCAGCAAUAGGUCAAACUGUUAUGUAUGUGGUAGUGCCAGACCUCAUCUAGGAACUGUACCCUUACAUGUCCCUGAUGAGUACUGGGAAUGUUUCCUAAGUUUGUUUUCAGGUAUUACUGUUAAUACUACAGAAUGUGAAGAAUGGAAAAAGGGUCACCCUAUUGGUGAACCCAAGUUUAAUUUAAAUGAUGUUGUCCCAGUAUAUCCUGGUAAUUAUACUUGUUUUCAGGGAAAUAAUAAUGGUAAGGUGGGUACACAAUUUGAUAACUUUUCUUCAGGAUUCUGCUCCGCCUACAGUAAUAUUACCUUAGUGAAUCAAACACAAUCUAUAUAAAAUACGUUCUAGACUCCCCACCCCCUGGAGAGGAGAAUGUGCCCCAGCCAAAAUAAUCAUGCCCCUCCAUAUAUUUGGCGACUCUCUCCCUGAAAUUAAGGUUGUAACUGAUUCCACAAGAAGGAAAAGGGAAUCCCCACAAGGUAGUUUCGACCCACAUAUCUAUCUAGAUGCCAUUGGUAUUCCAAGAGGGGUUCCUAAUGAAUUUAAAGCUAGAGACGAGGUGGCAGCAGGAUUUGAAUCAAUAUUUCCCAUUAUAACAGCUAACAAGAAUGUUAACUGGAUUAAUUAUAUAUAUUAUACACGAGAUGCAUUACAAGGUCUUGCUGAACAAUUACAGGCUACCUCACAAAUGACUUUCCAGAAUAGAAUGGCCCUUGAUAUGAUUUUAGCAGAAAAGGGAGGAGUCUGUAAAUUACUUGACUCCGGUGUUUGUUGUACCUAUAUUCCAGAGAACACUGGCCCUAAUGGUAAAGUAACCCUAGCUAUAAAGAAAUUGGAAGACCUAUCCAUAGAAAUGAAGAGGAAUUCAGGUAUUGAUCACCCAUUGGCAGAUAUGUUUAAGUUUGACAGUAUCCUAGACUGGCUAAAGAAUAUUGCAAUACUUAUUGUUAUGGUUCUGAUCCUUGCUCUACUUGUUUAUGCUAUUUUCAAGAUUAUUGUAUUCUGCAUUUACAAACAUACACGCAACACUGUUCCUGUAAAAUCCCCAGCUUGCUAUGAUGAGUAUCUCCAAAUGUAUACACAUAACCGAAGCAAUGGUGAACAUGCUGAUACAGAUCUAUAAGUUUGUGGUGCUGGUCAGAUGCCUAGUCCUAUGCUAUGGGAAUAGUGGCCGAAGACAUAAUGAAAGACCUGCAGGAUUGGCUAGCAAUCCUGAAUAUACCAUGGCAGAUGGCUGGUUGUCUGACCAGGACUCCUUAAAUAGGGUAUGAGCAAGAUAUUGCUCAAAGAGGGGGAAAUGAAGGAAUAUUGACCCCUUAAGGACACGUGACAUGUCAUGAUUCCCUUUUAUUCCAGAAAUCUGGUCCUUGGGGGGUUAAACAAUUAAUCUGUCAGUAUUUCAGAACUGCUUGCAAAACAUAAUUGAAAGGAAGUCACAAGCUAUGACAGUUUCUAUGUAUCAGGAAAUGCCUAACCACAAUGUAUAUGUGAUAUUUUGUAAGAUUAGAUUAUUGAAUGUAACAGCAGAAACUGCUUCCUCUUUUAUGUAUCUUGUGUAACCUUUUUGUAACCUUUUGUAACCAAUAUUCGUGACAAGUAUAGUAUAAAUAUAGUGAAUCUUGAAUAAACGAUCAGAAGAUUAUGGAAAGCAAAGAGUGUGCGUCUGGUUAAUACGCUUCCAUGAAAAUCUUCCCUGAAUAUUCAGCUGACAAUCGAGGGUUGGAGAAUAGUGACCAGAGGGACCGAGUCACCAGAUUAGCAGAUUUACCUUUCAGCC
rnacentral:lncRNA from 1 species